rnacentral:ncRNA from 1 species
UUCGCUCGGUUAGCGGACGUCGCGACCCGUUGGGCGCCGGCCGAAUGGCCCGGGUGACGUUCGUCGCGUCGGUCGCGUUUCGGCGUGACCGUUCGCGCCGAGCCCCGGUGCUCAUGGUCGGCUCGCCCGACGGCAAGAACCGUCGACGCGGCCCCGUCGCAGGCGGGGUCCCGUCGGUCGGCGACGUGUUUCGAGCUACUUUCCGACCCGUCUUGAAACACGGACCAAGGAGUCUAACGUGUGCGCGAGUCAACGGUGAUCUUACGAAAAACCACGUUUGGCGCAAUGAAAGUGAACCGUUUACGGUGCGGACGAUGGCCUAGCGACCGAACCCACCGGCGUUCAAAGUCGCGCUGGUCCGCAGUCCGGGGGCGUCUCCGCCAAGUCGGCUUCGGCCGGCUGGGGGCGCACCCUUAGCGCACACGUUGGUACCCGAAAGAUGGUGAACUAUGCCUGGCCAGGAUGAAGUCAGGGGAAACCCUGAUGGAGGUCCGCAGCGAUUCUGACGUGCAAAUCGAUCGUCUGAGCUGGGUAUAGGGGCGAAAGACUAAUCGAACCAUCUAGUAGCUGGUUCCAUCCGAAGUUUCCCUCAGGAUAGCUGGCGCCGAUGUGUCCCGCCCGUUCGCGGGCGUACGGACGCCGGUGGGACUCCGCGCUGUACGGCGCGGUAACAACACGCUCGUAACACGGAGGAUGUCUCAUACGGUAAAGCGAAUGAUUAAAGGACAUUGGGGCCGAAACGACCUCUACCUAUUCUCAAACUAUAAAUGAGUGAGAUCGCCGGCUUUUACCUUGGUACACCGCGUGAACCGCGUUGCGAA